rnacentral:rRNA from 1 species
GUGCCAGCCGCCGCGGUAAUACGGAGGGUGCAAGCGUUAUCCGGAUUCACUGGGUUUAAAGGGUGCGUAGGCGGAUAUGUAAGUCCGUGGUGAAAUCUCUGGGCUUAACCCGGAAACUGCCAUGGAUACUAUGUGUCUUGAAUGUUGUUGAGGUGAGCGGAAUAUGUCAUGUAGCGGUGAAAUGCUUAGAUAUGACAUAGAACACCAAUUGCGAAGGCAGCUCACUAAGCAAAUAUUGACGCUGAGGCACGAAAGCGUGGGGAUCAAACAGGAUUAGAUACCCUCGUAGUCC